CCCUGGGCGCUCCGGCCGGGCAGUAGAGGCGGAGCGCCCCUGGCCAUCGGGAGCUUGGCUUCGCCGUGGUGCUACCGCUGGCGCCACUACCGCUCGAGUAGCCGGCAGUGGGGCUGCUUCUGAAACGCCACAUUUACCGAAAACAAUGAUUAAGGGAGCCAGCAGUUCUGGAAAUUUGCCUUUCUUUAGAAUUCUGAGGACUGUCCGGUUUCUAGGCUGUGGCGAGAGAAGGGACCAGGGACCUAGGCUGAGCAUCGGCUCGUGUUUCCGCGUCUUUUGGUGUUCGCUGCUGUGAGUGCAGCAUUUCAGCUGGAAACAGCGAGGCCGGCCGUGCCCAGCGGCAACAGGGCUCCUGCGGUGCUGACCCUUGUCCCGUUCGGGCGGGAGAGAAGUCCAGGUGGACGAAGAAAUGGAGGAGGAACCAGAGAGGAGCCCUUCCCCCUGAGGGCUGGGGAAGACGAACAGGAUGGCAGCAGCGAUGGUGGAGCCGGGGACGUGAGGAAGAGGGCAGGCAGGGCCUGCCAGGACAACAGAAGCAGGAAAUGGUCAAACUGGAAGCUUCCCCUGGAGCCAGAAGACAGAGUUAGGAGGUAACGUCUCUGCUGUGUUCCGAGCACAGGACUCACAAGAAGAAUGUCGUGUUGGCAAACUCGGAGCCUCUGCUAGCCCAGAGCAGCACUGGCUGACACUGGACGCUCCCCUGAGUAUGACAACCCAGCAUGUCUCCGGGCAUUGAUCCACCCGGGUGGGAAGCCCUGCUCUGUGGUUACUUCUACUACUGCCUGCCGGAAUCCGUGUGUGCUGAGAAGUUAAAAAUGGGUCCUGUCCUGGACGUAGACUGCAUCGUGACUGGACACGUUCCCACGGCUGCAGCCACAGGAAGGCAUUUGUGAGCCUGGGACGGGAUCUGAGGAGUCAGCUGGGUGGAUCAACGCUCAGGCACCUCGUGGGACCCCAUCCCCUCACCAGGGAAAAUGUAGCCGUGGCUGGUCGGCGUGGCUGGCCCAGGAGCACUGCACUCUUCCGGACAGGAAUGGGUGUUGCCUGGCGCCCAGCACGCCCCCGGGGGAAUGCAGAACGGAGUCCUUUCCCAGGGAGAAGCCUGGGGACAACAGGAGGCUUUGCCCUACCACCUGGACCUGGACCUGGCCGCUGCACUGCAGACCCCGGACCUUACAGAGUCAGGUUGUAUUAACAGGGAGCUGGAUCGGAAGUGGAACAGCAGGGACUGGAACUGGCGGCCAUAUGGGAUGCCAGCAUCGCAGGCAGUGGCUUAACCCAGUACACCACAAUGCCGGCUCCAAAACCUGUCAUCUUGACAAGCCGAGGCGACUCCUAUAAACAAAUACAAGGGGCUUCAAAACGUUCCUGGGAAACGCAGGUUAUCUUCGAGUUCCACUUGUGCGUGAAUGUGUUGACGCCCCUCACGUGCGGGUAUGUGUUCUUUCCGUCGGCGUUCCCGGAUGAUCCACGGCAUCGUGUACGGUCCACUUUGUAUCCGUUCCCCUCCCCCAAAGGCCCCACUCAACAAUAGGUCCUCAGUGCCCCAGUCUUCCAGGCUCAGGUUGUGUUUAUUUGGUUGUCAGGGGCACCCCCGUGGGCCUUUGCCUGCCAUUCCCUAGGUGUGGCCAGGACCGCGGCUGGGGUUUUUCCCAGGUGUGGGACCCUCUUCCUCUCUGCCGGUGUUGAGGGGUUGGAGAGAAACGCUGGCGGCAAGGGGAAGGAGAGGCGAUGGUCUCCGAUGCUCCAGGCCCUGGGGGUGAGCAGGGAGAAGCCAGCCAGAACUUGGGCAGCAGAGAGCAAGGUAUGCGGCAGAACCAGGGAGGCUGGGGGCCGUGGCACUGGGACCAGGAAGAACAAGCCCAGCCAGCAAACCCAGGGGCAGUUCCCUUGGCUAGCAAGACGGAGACUCCAUGGGAAGGGUAGGGUGGGGAGGGUCACGAGGGGAGAAAUGAGGGAGGUUGGGGAGGGGUGACCGUGCCAGGCUGCUCUGUCCCAGGUGACCAGAGAUGCAGAGGCCAGGCCAGGGUGUGAGAGGCAGGGCUGCGAACCAGGGCCCAGGAACAGAGGUUAAGGCAGGGGAGACUGCUGGGCAGAUGGCAGGUCACUGCAUGGAGCCUCCUCCCAAGGCCCAGGGGAGCAAGGGGAGGCCCCAGCUCUGCUUUCAGCCUCCGUUUGUCCUUGAGCGUGGGCAGCCGCGGUUCCAAGGGCUGCACCUGGCCCAGCUGACGCUGGACUCCCCUGGGGGCCGUGCCCUCUACUCCACCCCCUGCCUGGACCUGUGACUUGGGUCUUCUCUCGUCCCCUGGCUCCUGGGACCUCCACCUCUGGGCUGAUCCCCGGACUUGGGCCCCACAUCCUGCAGGUGGCCCUCCACCUGGGAAACGUGGCCUGAAUGCCAGCUCAUGUCUCAGCAGCAUCCCCGCCCCUAAGUCCUCCGCUUUCUCCCAGAUCUACCCAUCCCUUUCCAGAUCUGCUUUGCUUUCUGACGUGUCCUGUCCCACGUGGGCCCACCUAACAGUCUCACCGGCACCCCUAAAGCUUCGUCUCUCCAAAGCCUGGUCACCUGCUCCCCAGAAACUUCUGCCUUGGGCCAGUUCACCCGUUUUGUGCCCCUCACUUUACCUGGGUUCCGGAGAACCCCCCGGCAUGGUUCUCCCAACAGGCUCCUCUGGUCCUGGUCCUCCCCAGGGUCAAGUCCACCCUCCUCUCAUUCUCAUUGGGAAAUGCCAGCUCCUGAUAACUGCCACUCAGGAAGCAUGCCCCUUGACCCUUCCUUCUCCCAGAGGCACAGCCUGCACGCUGGCCUGGUCCCACACGCCGGAGCUCCCUCCCCCGCUCCCUCUGCACCCCCUACCCCCACCAGGGCUUCCCUCCAUCCCCUCUCUGCUCUCUCCCUGAGGGUCCGCCAUUUCUGUUUCACUUGGCUCUCCUAUCACUGUUCAAAAACGCUGUGUCUCUGGCUUGUUCCCUUAGAUUUUCUAUUGUAAAAGAAUUCACCAGGAAAUGCAUCCACUCUCCAAAACUCAACAGAUAGAAGCAGGCGUCUCUCGUUCAUCCCUUGGCCACCCAGCGCCUUUGUGUGGAUGUAACCUGUAUCAUCGCUAUUAUUAUUUUGUUCUUGAAUGUCUUCCGCUGUUGUGUCACACAAGGAAUUAUGUAUACACUCUUUCUACUGAUUUUUUACACAAAAUGUAGCGAGCUGCAUGCACACUCCUGUACCUUGCUGUUUUUCAUGUAAGGUGCAGUUAAGUGUAGCAUAAUAACGUUUUGGGGGUUAGGGGGUUGGCGCUAUGAUGUAGUGAGUAAAGCCGCUGCCUGUGAAGCCGGCAUCUCGUAUGGGCACCGGUUCCAGUCCUGGCUGCUCCACUGCCCAUCCAACUCCUUGUUGGUGGUCUGGGAACAGCAGUGGAGGGUGGCCCAGGUGCUUGGACCCCUGCCACCCAGCGGCCAUCUGGGGAGUGAACCAGCAAAUAGAAAAUCUCUCUCUUUCUCUUUCUCUCUCUGUAACUCUUGACUUCCAAAUAAAUAAACAAAUGUUUUAUUUAAAAAAAAAAAGGGGGAGGGGGGAGGACAGCAUUGUGGCUUAGUUUGUAAAGCUGCCGCACCCCGUAUGGGUACUAGUUCCUGUUCCGGCUGCUCUGCUUCCAGUCAGAAGAUGGCCCAACCAGCCCUCUGCUGUGGCCAGGGAGUGCAGUGGAGGAUGGCCCAGGUGCUUGGGCCCUGCACCCCAUGGGAGACCAGGAAAAGCACCUGGCUCCUGGCUCCUGCCAUCAGAUCAGCGCGGUGCGCCGGCCGCAGCGCGCCGGCCGCGGCGGCCAUUGGAGGGUGAACCAACGGCAAAAGGAAGACCUUUCUCUCUGUCUCUCUCUCUCUCUCACUGUCCACUCUGCCUGUCAAAAAAAAAAAAAAAAAAAAAAGAUGGCCCAAGUGGUUCAGUCCCUGCCACCCAUGUGGGAGACCUGUAUAAAGCUCCCGGCUCCUGGCUGCAGUUGGCCCAGCCCCAGAAGUGGGGCCAUUUGGAGAGUGAACCAGCAAAUGGAAGAUUCUCUCUCUGUAACUCCGCCUUUCAAAUAAAUAAAUCUUAAAAAAAAAAAAUGAUUGAUUUGAAGGGUAGAGUUACAGAGUGAGAGGGAGAGACAGAGAUCUUCCAUCUGCUGGUUCACUCUCUAAAUGGCUGCAAUGGCCAGACCUGAACUGGUCUGAAGCCAGGAGUCAGGAGCUGCUUCCGGGUCUCCCAUGUGGGUGCAGGGGCCCAAGGACUUGGGCCAUCUUCCACUGCUUUCCCAGGUACAUUAGCUGGGAGCUGGGUUGGAAGUGGAGCAGCCGGAACUUGAACCAGUGCCCAUAUGGGAUGCUGGCAUGUAGACAGUAGCUUUAUCCGCUAUGCCACAGUGCCGGCCCCUAUAUCUUUUUUUAAAAAAUCAGAAUUAACAAUGGACCGCAUGUAUGAUGGUGAUUCCAGUGAUGUGACAGCCAUCCUAGUUUGUGUAGUACACUCGGUGGCAUUUGCACGAUGAUGAAAUCACCCGAAGAUGAAGCUCUCAGAACACAUCCCUGUUGUUGAGGGUGAUCAUGUCCUGGAGGUCAUUCCAUAUUUGUCACAAAAGAGCUGCCUCUGGGCAGUGGGUUAACCUCCUGGCCUGAAGGGCCGGCAUCCCAUAUGGGCGCCGGUUCGAGACGUGGCAGCUCCUCUUCCUAUCCAGCUCUCUGCUGUGGCCUGGGAAAGCAGGAGAAGAUGGCCCAAGUGCUUGGGCCCCUGCACCCAUGUGGGAGACCCAGAAGAAGCUCCUGGCUCCUGGCUUCGGAUCGGCGCAUCUCCGGCCAUUGCAGCCAACGGGGGAGUGAACCAGUGGAUGGAAGACCUCUCUCUCUCGCUCUCUCUCUCUCUCUCUCUCUCUCUGCCUCUCCUUCUAUGUAACUCUUUCUGCCCCUGCUUGUUUUAACAGCUGUAGUGUUGCACUGGUUGGAUGCACAUGGAUUUCCUUAGCCAGGGCAAGAGGUGGACUCCUGCUGCUAUCACGGGUGACCGCCCCUUCUUAGAAGCUCAGCACACCAAGCAUUUGUCUCCCACUCAGGCCACUGUCCAGGGGGAGUUCCUUCUGUGUGAUGACUCAGGGGCCCAGGAUCCCUCCAUUUUGUGCGUUUAUCCUGUUCUGGGUCACUAGAAAUCUCCUUAUUUGGGACCGGCGUUGUGGCAUAGCCAGGAAAGCCACUGCUUGUGACACCAGCAUAGCAUAAGGGUGCCGGUUCGUGUCCCAGAUGCUCCACUUCCAUCCAGCUCCCUGCUAACGACCUGGGAAAAGUUCCUGGCUUCAGCCUGGCCCAGCCCCAGCCAUUGCAGCCACUUGGGAAGUAAACCGGCAGAUGGAAGAUCUCUCUCCCUCUCUAACUCUGUCUUUGAAAAAAAUAAAUAAGUCUUGGGAGGAAGGAAGGUCCCCACUUAGCACGUAGGUAGGAAAGAGCCAGGGAGACCCCAUCAACCAGGCCCAGGUACACUCACUAAUCCCUUUGGCUAGGCCUCGGCCACACAACCACUCCUGCAGUCCCACGGGGGACUGACGGAUGCACCAGGGAGAAGGAAUGGGCCGAGGAGCGGCCACUGUCUGUAGAAGAAUCCAGAAGAGAGUCUUGCCCUCAGCCCAAGUCUCCCUUCAAAUUCGUCCUUCCACUUCCUGUCACAGCCAAGCGCCGCCCAGGCAGUCUCUCCCUCUGCUGUCUGUGGUCCUGGUGGGACUGCUCUGCGCCCGCCCCGCUCCACCUCGGGGUUCUUCUUCUAAGGAUGGGGUUCAGCUCUGCUCUUCACCUCCCCCACACCUGACACGCCGCCCACCGCUCCCCUUGGACCCGCCCUCACCCCCCAGCCCGAAUGCCUCUGCCCAGGCCCCGAAUGCCUCUGCCCAGGCCCCCUUCCUCUUGCCGUCCUUACAGGCUGCUGUUCCACAGGCGGCACAUCCCAUGACUUAAUGGCUCCACCUUUCGGCACCACAAGAGGUAGGAGGGUCAACUUUUCCGUCCAGAAACACCUAUUUCUCCAGGAAUCAUGGUGCGUUAAAACCCAGGCCUGGUGCAGGGUUAAGUUCACUGGUAUUGGAAAUGGUUCCUUUUCAACUUCUCGGUACAUAGGAAGCAUGAACAAAUGCAUGCGUGUUGAAGUAGACAUAGUGGGGCUGGCGCUGUGGGCAUUGUAGGCUAAGCCUCUGCUUACAGUGCCAGCACCCCACGUGGGUACCAGUUCGAGUCCCGGCGGCUCCACUUCUGAUCCUGCUCCCUGAUAAUGUGUGUGGGAAAGCAGUAGAAGACGCUGCAAGUCCUUGGGCCCCUGCACCCACAUGGGAGACCCGGAAGAAGCUCCUGGCUCCUGGCUUCAGAGUGACCUACUUCCGACCAUUGCGGCCAUUUGAGGAGUGAACCAGCAGAUGGAAGAUCUCCCUCUCUCUUUCUCUCUCUCUGCCUCUGUAACUCUGCCUUUCAGAUAAAUAAAUAAAUCUUAAAGAAAAAAAAAAGUCCACAGUGAUGCCUCCAAUUCCACUCUGACAUCAUCGCGUGCAUUCCAGCCUUGCCCCUUAUUUUUAACUCGUUUAUCUGACAGUGAGAAAUGAUUCCCCUUAAUCACAGGAUAUGUGCUUAUCUGCUCCAUGCCAAAAUACAUGUAGUUUCUGCAUUUCUAACUUGCACGUCUGUGAAAAGCAAACCUACUGCUUAGAGCGCGCUGACACCCAGUUUUCCCGCUUGAAAGUAUAGAGUGACAAUACCUGGGGCAGGGGUUUGGCACAGCAGUUAAGAGGCCUGCGUCCUGUAUCAGAGAUCCUGGUUCCAGUCCUGGCUCCUCCACUUCUGAUGCAGCUUCUGCUUUGUGCACCCUGGGGGGCAGCAGGUGCCGCCUCAAGUACUUGGGUCCACCCACGCUUGUGGGAGACCUGGGUGGAGCUCCGGGUUCCUGGCCUCGGUCGGGUCCAAACCUGGCUGUUUGUGGGCAAUUGAGGAAAUAACCCAGUGGAUGGAAAAUUUGUCUCUGUCUCUCUCUGAUUUGCAUUUAAAAUGAAAAGAUUUUUUUUUUUUUUAAUUGGGAGGGAACUAGCAUUGCAGUGUAGUGUGGAUGCCAACAUCCCAAAUGCAUGCCGGUUGCAGUCCCAGUGUAGGAGCUGGAGUCUUCUGUACUCUGGCUGCUUGCUUGCCUGCUGUGCUCCCCUGGAGUCUGUGACCCCCUGACCCCCACCAGCUCCCCUGGGGUUUAUGGCCCAAUGCUUCCCACCAGUGCCUCCCCGUGCCAUCUCCUUUGUGUGGCCUUCCCGCCACAUAACCUAUAUAGCCCGUACGUUUAAAUGAACCAAUGAACAUGUUAGGUCCCAAUACCUUGCCAUAUAGAGAGUAAGAAGGUAACCUACGUAGGAGAUGACCUGCACCCUUGCAAGUGUGAGGCUAUAAAAACCUCUCUUAUGCAAACGAAGGGGCCUUUUGCCUGUGCAAGGCUAAAGGGCUGUGUGCGGGUAGGGGGUCCCAGCCGGCUGAUAACAAAUAGACGUCUGCUUUUGCAUCCGCGACUGUGCCUUGUGCAUUGCCUGGGAAAUUCGGACACAACACCAGCUGUUCCACUUCCGAUCCAGCUCCUGCUAAUGCGCCUGGGAAAGCCGUGGACAAUGGCUUGAAUCCUUGUGCCUCUGCACCCACAUGGGAGACCAGAACGGAGCUCUAGGCUUCUGGCUUUAAACUGGUCUGGGCCCAGAUGUUGUGGCCAUCUGGGGAGUGAGCCAGCAGGUAGAAGAUGCCUCUCUCUCUAAUUCCACCUUUCCUUUCUCAUAAGCAAAUCUUUAAAAAAAAAAAAAGUUUAAAUGCCCUUUAUGAAGCCCCCUGGGUUAGUGCUCAGUCUGUUUGCUCUGUGCCGUGGUGCCCACCCUUAGCAAGCUGCGCGACUGGGUCUCCUGGUCUCUGUCUCUGAUCCACUUGGGUCCUCUCCACCAC